UACGUAGGGUGCGAGCGUUAAUCGGAAUUACUGGGCGUAAAGCGUGCGCAGGCGGUUCGUUGUGUCGGUGGUGAAAUCCCCGGGCUUAACCUGGGAAUGGCCAUGGAAACUGGCGAACUGGAGUGCGGCAGAGGGGGGUGGAAUUCCUGGUGUAGCGGUGGAAUGCGCAGAUAUCAGGAGGAACACCGAUGGCGAAGGCAGUUCUCUGGGCCGUAACUGACGCUGAGGAGCGAAAGCGUGGGGAGCGAACAGG
rnacentral:rRNA from 1 species